AACGUAGGUGGCGAGCGUUAUCCGGAUUUACUGGGCGUAAAGGGUGUGCAGGCUGCCCCUCAAGUGGUGUAUGAAAGGGCUCGGCUCAACCGGGCUAGGUUAUGCCAGACUGAGGGGCUAGAGAGCGAGAGCGGAACGUGGAAUUCCGGGUGUAGUGGUGAAAUGCGUAGAGAUCCGGAGGAACCCCAGAGGCGAAGGCGGCGUCCUGGCUCGCAUCUGACGCUCAGACACGACAGCAUGGGGAGCGAACGGG
rnacentral:rRNA from 1 species